ensembl:lncRNA
CUCCAGGGGAGUUAGGAAAGGAGGUGGGAUCUCCAGGGGAGUUAGGAAAGGAGGUGGGAUCUCCAGGGGAGUUAGGAAAGGAGGUGGGAUCUCCAGGGGAGUUAGGAAAGGAGGUGGGAUCUCCAGGGAAGUUAGGAAAGGAGGUGGGAUCUCCAGGGAAGUUAGGAAAGGAGGUGGGAUCUCCAGGGAAUUUAGGAAAGGAGGUGAAGCCUUUAGUGGAGCUGACAAAGCAGGUGAAACCCCUGGAACUUAGUAAAGAGGCAGACGACCCAGGAGAAGAGUUAGUGUGUGGAGAGGUGAAGUCUCCAAAGGAGGCGAUGGAGGAGGUGAGGGAGGUGACAGCUGUACAGGAGGUGCAUGAGGAGCUGGGAGGUGUGCAGGAGGUGCAGGAGGAGGUGAGGAAAGCCUCUGGGGCUCAGGAGGAGCUGGAGAACUCUGAGCGAGCGGAGGAGACCAGGAGCCUGAGCCGCCUCAGCAGGGGCAGCUGCAGAGCACGAUCAGACGACCUGACCAUAUGAGCCAUACACAAACAAACACACAAACAAACAAACAAAUAUAUGAAAUACAUACACAAACAAACACACAAACAAACAAACAUAUGAAAUACAUACACAAACAAACAUAUGAAAUACUUACACAAACAAACAAACAAACAAACAUAUGAAAUACAUACACAAAAAAACAUAUGAAAUACAUACACAAACAAACACACAAACAAACAAACAUAUGAAAUACAUACACAAACAAACAAACAAACAUAUGAAAUGCAUACAAACGCAUACACACAUACAUACAUACAUAUAUACAUACAUACAUACAUCAACAGGUGCCUGACUAAAUACCAGUAUCUUUAUAUACUCCAGCACAACAAACCCCCUCAUGUCCCAUACACAUGCUAGUCAACGUGUGCUGUAUCUGGUCAGCGUAUUUCAUCUGACCAUAUUGGGGAAACUUCUCUUACUUUUCACACAAAUCAGCAAACAAUAAAACAACCCAGUGCCUUAAUAUAACCUGCUUCAAAAAAGCAGUGAGCUGUUAAAAGCAGUGCAUCCCUGUGUUAUUUCUGGUUUUAGAUCAUUAAUUCAUUUUAUUUUGUAUGAUGACAAAUAUGAGGUCGACCUAUGGCUUGUAUAGACCGCUAAUUUAUUAACUUAUUUAUGACCUGUGACAUAACUGUGAUGUAGGGUAAUGUGCUUUUGAACAGAAGAGGUUAGUCAGUGUCUCAGUGCCUGGCAGCCUGCGGAUGAGGUUUAUGUUGAAACACAUGGAACAAUGAAUACAUUCCUCUCAUUUUGUGGAAGAUCUGAUUGUUUUAACACCUUACAGGAGACAAGAGCAGUGUCGUAUCGUUGACCACAAUGGCAGAUCUGAAAACAAAAUGUAACUUUUUAACUUCAUAGUUGUUCAAUUUGAUUGAAAAACGUUUAACUCUGUGUGCAUACUGUUAACACUGUUGCUGACUGUCAUCCUGUUUUCAAAUUGACUCUCAGUUGACAUGAACAUAAAUGAAGAAUGUCUGUCCUCCUGAAAGUGUGUGUUUAUGUGUGUAAUUUGUAUCUAUAUAAAGUGUGUGUUUAUGUGUGUAACGUGUAGCUAUCGUAUCGUUCUCGCAUCACCUCAUACAUGUAGGGGGACCAGACAGCACAUUAUCAAAUCACGAAUCAAUAUGUUCAGUCUCUAAGACAGCGCAUUAUGAAAUCACAAAUCAAUAUGUUCAGUCUCUAAGACAGCACAUUAUCAAAUCACAAAUCAAUAUGUUCAGUCUCUAAAACAGCACAUUAUCAAAUCACAAAUCAAUGGCAUGCAGACAAAUAAAAGCAUAUCGGCUUUACUCCCCAAAGUAAAUGUGUGACCUAUUGCAUUGAGAGACUUUCAGUGGCUUGAGAAACGCUGACAAGUCUGAACCUUGUCAGAACGAACGGCUGACAAUGAUAACACCGCUAACCUAACUGGUGUUAAUGUCUCAACCUUGUCAGAAUGAAUGGCUGACAAUGAUAACUCCGCUAACCUAACUGGUGUUGGGAGCUAGCUUCCUUUUCUUAAUGCGCUGUGAAAUCUCUCUCUCAGCUUGAAAAGGUUGUGAGAGCUGUUGUUGUCAGAGAGUUGAGACCUGAUGUUUUUGAAACUCCUCUGCAUCCUCCUGUGGCCUGGUGCCAGGCUAGUGAGUGCAGGCUAAAACCCUUCUCUCGGACGCCAUGGAAACACGGCUGUCAUGGCGAUAAAGAUCCAGGCCAGUCAGCACAAAGCAUUGUUCAUCAAGAGAAUGGCCCUACGGAUGGAUGCCAACGUACACUCACUAACGGGGAAUUAAAAUGUUAAUUUAUCAUCUUUAUUAAUCAGACUCUGAAUGAAUGAUUCAGGAUAUGUAUUUUGUUUGGGACC